UCACCAGGUAUCCAGAAUUGCUGUUCUCC
rnacentral:piRNA from 1 species